rnacentral:rRNA from 1 species
GGCGGCAGGCCUAACACAUGCAAGUCGAGCGGAUGACGGGAGCUUGCUCCCGAAUUCAGCGGCGGACGGGUGAGUAAUGCCUAGGAAUCUGCCUGGUAGUGGGGGACAACGUCUCGAAAGGGACGCUAAUACCGCAUACGUCCUACGGGAGAAAGUGGGGGAUCUUCGGACCUCACGCUAUCAGAUGAGCCUAGGUCGGAUUAGCUAGUUGGUGAGGUAAUGGCUCACCAAGGCGACGAUCCGUAACUGGUCUGAGAGGAUGAUCAGUCACACUGGAACUGAGACACGGUCCAGACUCCUACGGGAGGCAGCAGUGGGGAAUAUUGGACAAUGGGCGAAAGCCUGAUCCAGCCAUGCCGCGUGUGUGAAGAAGGUCUUCGGAUUGUAAAGCACUCUAAGUUGGGAGGAAGGGCAUUAACCUAAUACGUUGAUGUUUUGACGUUACCGACAGAAUAAGCACCGGCUAACUCUGUGCCAGCAGCCGCGGUAAUACAGAGGGUGCAAGCGUUAAUCGGAAUUACUGGGCGUAAAGCGCGCGUAGGUGGUUUGUUAAGUUGGAUGUGAAAGCCCCGGGCUCAACCUGGGAACUGCAUCCAAAACUGGCAAGCUAGAGUAGGGCAG